GACAGUGAGACAGGUGCAGGACAGUGAAAGAGACUCAGGAGAGGGAGACAGACUCAGGAGAGGGAGACAGGUGCAGGACAGUGAAACAGACUCAGGAGAGGGAGACAGGUGCAGGACUGUGAGACAGACUCAGGACAGUGAGACAGGUGUAGGAGAGUGAACCAAGACUCAGGAGAGGGAGACAGGUGCAGGACAGUGAGACAGACUCAGGACAGUGAGACAGGUGCAGGACAGUGAAAGAGACUCAGGAGAGGGAGACAGGUGCAGGACAGUGAACCAAGACUCAGGAGAAGGAGACAGGUGCAGGACAGUGAGACAAACUCAGGAGAGGGAGACAGGUGCAGGACUGUGAGACAGACUCAGGACAGUGAGACAGGUGCAGGACAGUGAACCAAGACUCAGGAGAGAGAGACAGGUGCAGGACAGUGAGACAGACUCAGGACAGUGAGACAGGUGCAGGACAGUGAGACAAACUCAGGAGAGGGAGACAGGUGCAGGACUGUGAGACAGACUCAGGACAGUGAGACAGGUGCAGGACAGUGAACCAAGACUCAGGAGAGGGAGACAGAUGCAGGACCGUGAGACAGACUCAGGACAGUGAGACAGGUGCAGGAAAGUGAGACAGACUCAGGACAGUGAGACGGACUCAGGAGAGGGAGACAGAUGCAGGACAGUGAGACGGACUUAGCAGCCAGGUCCGGUGCUGCCUUGCUGUGGUUAAUAACCUUCUAAACUGUUUCUGUCUUCCUGUUUUUUUUCUUC